rnacentral:rRNA from 1 species
GACGAACGCUGGCGGCGUGCUUAACACAUGCAAGUCGAACGGAAAGGCCCUGCUUUUGUGGGGUGCUCGAGUGGCGAACGGGUGAGUAACACGUGAGUAACCUGCCCUUGACUUUGGGAUAACUUCAGGAAACUGGGGCUAAUACCGGAUAGGAGCUCCUGCUGCAUGGUGUGGGUUGGAAAGUUUCGGCGGUUGGGGAUGGACUCGCGGCUUAUCAGCUUGUUGGUGGGGUAGUGGCUUACCAAGGCUUUGACGGGUAGCCGGCCUGAGAGGGUGACCGGCCACAUGGGGACUGAGAUACGGACCAGACUCCUACGGGAGGCAGCAGGGGGGAAUAUUGCACAAUGGGCGGAAGCCUGAUGCAGCAACGCCGCGUGCGGGAUGACGGCCUUCGGGUUGUAAACCGCUUUCGCCUGUGACGAAGCGUGAGUGACGGUAAUGGGUAAAGAAGCACCGGCUAACUACGUG